rnacentral:rRNA from 1 species
GACGAACGCUGGCGGCGUGCUUAACACAUGCAAGUCGAACGGAAAGGCCCUGCUUUUGUGGGGUGCUCGAGUGGCGAACGGGUGAGUAACACGUGAGUAACCUGCCCUUGACUUUGGGAUAACUUCAGGAAACUGGGGCUAAUACCGGAUAGGAGCUCCUGCUGCAUGGUGGGGGUUGGAAAGUUUCGGCGGUUGGGGAUGGACUGGCGGCUUAUCAGCUUGUUGGUGGGGUAGUGGCUUACCAAGGCUUUGACGGGUAGCCGGCCUGAGAGGGUGGCCAGCCACAUUGGGACUGAGAUACGGCCCAGACUCCUACGGGAGGCAGCAGUGGGGAAUAUUGCACAAUGGGCGGAAGCCUGAUGCAGCAACGCCGCGUGCGGGAUGACGGCCUUCGGGUUGUAAACCGCUUUCGCCUGUGACGAAGCGUGAGUGACGGUAAUGGGUGAAGAAGCACCGGCUAACUACGUG